rnacentral:rRNA from 1 species
UACGGAGGGAGCUAGCGUUGUUCGGAAUUACUGGGCGUAAAGCGCACGUAGGCGGCUUUGUAAGUUAGAGGUGAAAGCCCGGGGCUCAACCCCGGAAUUGCCUUUAAGACUGCAUCGCUUGAAUCCAGGAGAGGUGAGUGGAAUUCCGAGUGUAGAGGUGAAAUUCGUAGAUAUUCGGAAGAACACCAGUGGCGAAGGCGGCUCACUGGACCGGUACUGACGCUGAGGUGCGAAAGCGUGGGGAGCAAACAGGG